GGAAAGAAAGGGAUUCGAC
rnacentral:tRNA from 2 species